rnacentral:rRNA from 1 species
UACUCGAGUGGCGAACGGGUGAGUAACACGUGGGUGAUCUGCCCUGCACUUCGGGAUAAGCUUGGGAAACUGGGUCUAAUACCGGAUAGGACCGCACUUUAGUGUAUGUGGUGGAAAGUUUUUUCGGUGUAGGAUGAGCUCGCGGCCUAUCAGCUUGUUGGUGGGGUAAUGGCCUACCAAGGCGGCGACGGGUAGCCGGCCUGAGAGGGUGUACGGCCACAUUGGGACUGAGAUACGGCCCAG